rnacentral:rRNA from 1 species
UACGUAGGGCGCAAGCGUUAUCCGGAAUUAUUGGGCGUAAAGAGCUCGUAGGCGGUUUGUCGCGUCUGCCGUGAAAGUCCGGGGCUCAACUCCGGAUCUGCGGUGGGUACGGGCAGACUAGAGUGAUGUAGGGGAGACUGGAAUUCCUGGUGUAGCGGUGAAAUGCGUAGAUAUCGAGAGGAACACCAGUGGCGAAGGCGAGUCCCUGGACAACACCUGACACUGAGGCACGAAAGCUAGGGGGAGCAAACAGG